rnacentral:lncRNA from 1 species
AUGUUGCAGUCCAAAUUCUGUUAGGCAUUUCAGGAGGGAUGGGGAUAAUUUUUUUUUACAGGUUAGAACUAUUCCCUUGCCAUUAAAUGUUAAAAAAUACUCAAAAACAGCUUAGAUUUUUUAAUGGUAUAUGUUUAAUAAGGAGCAUACAUUUAAAAUUUUAUAAUAUCAUGAAGAAAUCCAAAAAAAAAACAUUUUUAUGUAUUGUGUGUAGACUGUUAUUUGCCUUUUGACGGUUUUCCAUGAUUUUUCAAGUAUCUCUUCAACUUGAGAAAUUUUAUUUGCCAUUCAGCAUAUGUGAUAUGUUUUAGAUAGACCUUACAUGGUACUAGUAUACUGAAUAUCUAUCAACAUUUACACAUUGUAGUGCUAUAGUUUCUAGUCAUUUUAGUGUGUUUUAUACAUGUUUUAGUGUAGCAUUGAUUUCCGUCCAUUGUAAAUGUGUACCACCAAUGUAUGUUUGUGUCCAUUUUUAUGCCCCACCUACGAUAGUAGAGGGGCAUUAUGUUUUCUGGUCUGUGCGUCCGUCUGUUCGUUCGUUCGUCCGUUCGUUCGUCCGUC